rnacentral:rRNA from 1 species
AUAUUGGGCAAUGGGCGCAAGCCUGACCCAGCAACGCCGCGUGAAGGAAGAAGGCUUUCGGGUUGUAAACUUCUUUUGUCAGGGAACAGUAGAAGAGGGUACCUGACGAAUAAGCUCCGGCUAACUACGUGCCAGCAGCCGCGGUAAUACGUAGGGAGCGAGCGUUGUCCGGAUUUACUGGGUGUAAAGGGCGUGCAGCCGGGCUGGCAAGUCAGAUGUGAAAUCCAGAGGCUUAACCUCUGAACUGCAUUUGAAACUGCUGGUCUUGAGUACCGGAGAGGUUAUCGGAAUUCCUUGUGUAGCGGUGAAAUGCGUAGAUAUAAGGAAGAACACCAGUGGCGAAGGCGGAUAACUGGACGGCAACUGACGGUGAGGCGCGAAAGCGUGGGGAGCAAACAG